rnacentral:rRNA from 1 species
CAGCAGCCACGGUAAGACAGAGGAUGCAAGCGUUAAUCGGAUUUACUGGGCGUAAAGCGUGCGUAGGCGGCUUCUUAAGUCGGAUGUGAAAUCCCUGAGCUUAACUUAGGAAUUGCAUUCGAUACUGGGAAGCUAGAGUAUGGGAGAGGAUGGUAGAAUUCCAGGUGUAGCGGUGAAAUGCGUAGAGAUCUGGAGGAAUACCGAUGGCGAAGGCAGCCAUCUGGCCUAAUACUGACGCUGAGGUACGAAAGCAUGGGGAGCAAACAGGAUUAGAUACCCGGGUAGUCCCUGUCUCUUAUAC